rnacentral:rRNA from 1 species
UACGUAGGGGGCGAGCGUUGUCCGGAUUUACUGGGCGUAAAGAGCGCGUAGGCGGCCCGUUAAGUCGGCUGUGAAAGGUCCCGGCUCAACUGGGAUAAGUCGGCCGAGACUGGGGGGCUGGAGGGCGGUAGAGGAAGGUGGAAUUCCCGGUGUAGUGGUGAAAUGCGUAGAGAUCGGGAGGAACACCAGUGGCGAAGGCGGCCUUCUGGGCCGUACCUGACGCUGAGGCGCGAAAGCGUGGGGAGCGAACUGA